GCCUGGGUGGCUCAGUUGGUUGAGCAUCUGACUUCAGCUCAGGUCAUAAUCUUGUGGUUUGUGAGUUCGAGCCCCGCGUCAGGCU
rfam:Felis catus isolate Cinnamon breed Abyssinian chromosome D3, whole genome shotgun sequence.